GAUGAACGCUGGCGGCGUGCCUAAUACAUGCAAGUCGGGCGAACGGACGAGAAGCUCUCUUCUCUGAUGUUAGCGGCGGACGGGUGAGUAACACGUGGAUAACCUACCUAUAAGACUGGGAUAACUUCGGGAAACCGGAUCUAAUACCGGAUAAUAUUUUGAACCGCAUGGUUCAAAAGUGAAAGACGGUCUUGCUGUCACUUAUAGAUGGAUCCGCGCUGCAUUAGCUAGUUGGUAAGGUAACGGCUUACCAAGGCGACGAUGCGUAGCCGACCUGAGAGGGUGAUCGGCCACACUGGAACUGAGACACGGUCCAGACUCCUACGGGAGGCAGCAGUAGGGAAUCUUGCGCAAAGGGCGAAAGCCUGACGGAGCAACGCCGCGUGAGUGAUGAAGGUCUUCGGAUCGUAAAGCUCUGUUAUUAGGGAAGAACAUAUGUGUAAGUAACUGUGCACGUCUUGACGGUACCUAAUCAGAAAGCCACGGCUAACUACGUG
rnacentral:rRNA from 1 species